rnacentral:rRNA from 1 species
UACGAAGGGGGCUAGCGUUGCUCGGAUUGACUGGGCGUAAAGGGCGCGUAGGCGGUUCGUACAGUCAGACGUGAAAUUCCUGGGCUCAACCUGGGGGCUGCGUUUGAUACGUGCGGACUUGAGUGCGGAAGAGGGUCGUGGAAUUCCCAGUGUAGAGGUGAAAUUCGUAGAUAUUGGGAAGAACACCGGUGGCGAAGGCGGCGACCUGGUCCGAUACUGACGCUGAGGCGCGAAAGCUAGGGGAGCAAACAGG